rnacentral:rRNA from 1 species
CCUACGGGUGGCAGCAGUGAGGAAUAUUGGUCAAUGGACGAGAGUCUGAACCAGCCAAGUAGCGUGAAGGAUGACUGCUCUAUGGGUUGUAAACUUCUUUUAUAUGGGAAUAAAGUUCAGUACGUGUUCCUUUUUGUAUGUACCAUAUGAAUAAGCAUCGGCUAACUCCGUGCCAGCAGCCGCGGUAAUACGGAGGAUCCGAGCGUUAUCCGGAUUUAUUGGGUUUAAAGGGUGCGUAGGUGGUGGAUUAAGUCAGCGGUGAAAGUUUGCGGCUCAACCAUAAAAUUGCAGUUGAUACUGGGUGACUUGAGUACAGUAGAGGUAGGCGGAAUGCGUGGUGUAGCGGUGAAAUGCAUAGAUAUCACGAAGAACUCCGAUUGCGAAGGCAGCUUACUAAACUAUAACUGACACUGAUGCACGAAAGUGUGGGUAUCAAACAGGAUUAGAUACCCUUGUAGUC